UGGUUUUUCAGCGGUGCUUUUG
rnacentral:rRNA from 1 species